CAGCCGCCGCGGUAAUACGUAGGUGGCAAGCGUUGUCCGGAAUUAUUGGGCGUAAAGCGCGCGCAGGCGGAUCAGUUAGUCUGUCUUAAAAGUUCGGGGCUUAACCCCGUGAUGGGAUGGAAACUGUUGAUCUAGAGUAUCGGAGAGGAAAGUGGAAUUCCUAGUGUAGCGGUGAAAUGCGUAGAUAUUAGGAAGAACACCAGUGGCGAAGGCGACUUUCUGGACGAAAACUGACGCUGAGGCGCGAAAGCCAGGGGAGCGAACGGGAUUAGAUACCCGGGUAGUCCCUGUCUCUUAUACC
rnacentral:rRNA from 1 species